rnacentral:rRNA from 1 species
UCAGAUAUUUUACCUUGAGAAAAUUAGAGUGUUUCAGGCAGGCUUGGCCGGAAUACAUUAGCAUGGAAUAAUAGAAGAGGACUCCGGUGUCAUUUGUUGGUUUGAGGCGUUGGAGUAAUGAUUAAUAGGGAUAGUUGGGGGCAUUAGUAUUUAAUUGUCAGAGGUGAAAUUCUCGGAUUUGUUAAAGACUAACUUAUGCGAAAGCAUUUGCCAAGGAUGUUUUCAUUAA